rnacentral:rRNA from 1 species
AGAAUCAACGCUGGCGGCGUGCCUAACACAUGCAAGUCGAACGCGAAAGCCCCGCAAGGGUCAGUAGAGUGGCAAACGGGUGAGUAACACGUGGGUGACCUGCCUCAGAGUGGGGAUAACGACCCGAAAGGGUCGCUAAUACCGCAUAACAUCCUGCCUUUGGAUAGGUGGAGAUCAAAGUUGGGAUCCGCAAGGACCUGACGCUUGGAGAGGGCCCGCGGCCGAUUAGCUAGUUGGUGAGGUAACGGCUCACCAAGGCAACGAUCGGUA